AUCGAACGCUGGCGGCAGGCCUAACACAUGCAAGUCGAGCGGAGCGGCGGACGGGUGGGUAAUGCCUAGGUAUCUGCCCGGUAGUGGGGGGUAACGUCCGGAAACGGGCGCUAAUCCCGCAUACUAUCAGAUGAGCCUAGGUCGGAUUAGCUAGUUGGUAGGGUAAAGGCCUACCAAGGCGACGAUCCGUAACUGGUCUGAGAGGAUGAUCAGUCACACGGGAACUGAGACACGGUCCAGACUCCUACGGGAGGCAGCAGUGGGGAAUAUUGGACAAUGGGCGAAAGCCUGAUCCAGCCAUGCCGCGGGUGGGAAGAAGGUCUUCGGAUUGUAAAGCACUUUAAGUUGGGAGGCGGUACCAACAGAAUAAGCACUGGCUAACUACGUGCCAGCAGCCGCGGUAAUUC
rnacentral:rRNA from 1 species